rnacentral:rRNA from 1 species
UACGAGGGGGGCGAGCGUUGUUCGGAAUUAUUGGGCGUAAAGGGUGCGUAGGCGGUUCCGCAAGUCCUGUGUGAAAUCUUCGGGCUCAACUCGAAGUCUGCACGGGAAACUGCGGGGCUUGAGUGUGGGAGAGGUGAGUGGAAUUCCCGGUGUAGCGGUGAAAUGCGUAGAUAUCAGGAGGAACACCUGUGGUGUAGACGGCUUUCUGGACCAUAGCUGACGCUGAGACACGAAAGCGUGGGUAGCAAACAGG